GGAGUAAAAGUCGUAACAAGGUUUCCGUAGGUGAACCUGCGGAAGGAUCAUUAUUGUAUAACCGAGGUGCGAGGGUUGUCGCUGACCCGAAAGGUCGUGCACGCCCGAGUGCCCUCACACACAUCCAUCUCACCCCUAUGUGCACCACCGCGUGGGUCCCCCUUUGGCUUGUUCGGAGGGGGGCUUACGUUUUCACACAAACUUUGUAUGCAGUGUAGAAUGUAUUUUUUGUUUUUGCGAUCACGCAAUCAAUACAACUUUCAACAACGGAUCUCUUGGCUCUC
rnacentral:misc_RNA from 1 species